UCCCUGGUGGUCUAGUGGCCAGGAUUCGGCGCUUUCACCGCUGCGGCUUGGGUUCGAUUCCCGGUCAGGGAA
rnacentral:tRNA from 2 species